AAGCAGCAGAUGAAGCCGUCACAUACCAUUUCUUGGGCAUAUAACAGAGAUAUUCUUAUUGCUCAGAACCGCAAUGGCUACCAAAUUGACCACC
rnacentral:miRNA from 1 species